AUCUCACCAUGAAGGAUAUUUAAAAGCAAAAUGACCUGAAGCAGGUGUGAGUAAUCUGUGGAUAGAACAGAGCUCUGCUCCAGGCGCAAGCACUGCUGUAGGUAAAGUGCUGAAGAAGAGGAAGACUACAGGCUAUUUAUCCAUGGCGGCAGCACAGCUUGGGGCAAGGCAGAGCUAAGACGACCCCUCUGUCUUUGUGAAGAUGCCAGAGGAAACCACCAAAGAAGACUCUCUCCUUUGCUGGUUUUGAUGAAGCAUGCAGCCAUUUAUGAGAGGCCAAGAAACCAAGGGCAGCCUCCAGCCAAGAACCAGCUGAGGGUGGCCCCUAGCUGACAAUCAGCAAGACGUUGAGGCCACCCGCCCUACAACACCAAGGAACUGAAUUCUACUAACAACUGCACGAAUUUGAAAGUGGGUUGUUCCCCAGUUGAACCUUGAGAUGAGACCAUCAGGCCAACCAACAAUCUCAUUGAAGUCACAUGAAAUCUGGAAGCAGAAGAUCUGACUAAACUGUGCCCACACACCUAACCACAGAAACUGUGUAUUAAUAAAUGUGUGUUGUUUUAAACCAACGUCUUUGUGGCAAUAUUGCUACCCAACAAUAAAUAACUAAUAAACAGUCCAAGAAUCAA
rnacentral:lncRNA from 1 species